UUUUUUUUUUUUAAAUACUAGAUAUGCUCCACAAAUGCUGAUUAUGUUCUACCCUCCUUUAAUGUAGAAGCACCACAUAUGGGUGAAUACAUUAUAUUACACUGACAGAAAAAACUGUACUGCUAUUUUGUUCAACUAUAUGCUAAUAACCACAUAAAAGUUUCUGUCUGCCAACUAGACAACUGCUGAAACUCAGUAAUAGUCCUUGUUUGGUCUGAUUUCCCAGCAAAUACGAGCACACAUAGGCCCAGAAAUGUGACAGGCAUUUUGUCAAUCUAGAGCAAAACAAUAACUAGAAAUAUACCUGACAAAAAGGUCAGACUAUAUUUAGCCUUUGAGGAGGGUGGGACACAUAUGAUAAAACAAUUACUUAAGUUACCCUCUGUAUAGAGAAGACCUUUACCCAUUUUGACUAAUGCAUCUAUGGCAUUACUGAGAAUUUUUAAAUGUUAUGACUCAAAGCUAACUUACUAAUUCUCAAGACUUCUAGGCAACACUUAGACAAAGAUAAGCUUUCAUUUUGUUACUAUAUUCAUAAGGUGACAAGUCUUGCUUGAUUGAAAGUAUCUUAGUCAUAACUCACCCAGACACAACUUUUGGGUUUUCUUCAUGUAAGAAUAGAGUUCUAUACCAAUUUGUGUUAACAUUUUAUCAAUGAUCAAUCUGUGCCUUACACAAGAUAUGGCAUAAAUAGCAAGUUACUCAAACGACUUACAAAUUGUUUAGGGGAUAAGAGUAGGAAGGAGACCACUUGGAGGGAGAGGAGGACAUAGUACAAUCUUCAAAGACAUUUUACCAGUAGGAAUUGUGGAUUAAGGAGUAGAGAGGGGACAGAGGGAUUGGAAGGCGCUAGAACUCUCUAUUUCAGCUAUGUGCAAUACACUGAUUCCAGGGGUACUGCCUCUAGAACAUGAAGAAAUCUUUAAGAAGCAAAAUCCAUUUAUAUAGGUGUAAAAAAAAAAAAAAAAGGAUAUUUAAGGCUAAGAAGCCUAAAAAAAGAAAAAAGAAAAAGGAAAGAAGAAAAAUUUUUUAAGUUCCCAAGAAAUGUAUACACCAUUCAGAGAAUAUACAGAUUACCUACUGCUUAAAAGACAGUGUUUACUUCUACCAGUAUCCUGCCAUUCUCCUUCCACUACUAGUUGACCUUUUACUAUACCAAAAUACAAAAAAUUCCAUUGUAGAAAAGGAAUUACUAUUUGACUAUACGCUAAAAACUCAAAUUUCUCUUUUUUUUUUUUUUUGCGGGGGGGGGGGGGGAAUCAAUGCACUUGAGGUGGGCCAGAAAGAUGCUGCAGUGCAUCUGUGACACACACCUAAAAAAUGGCUCCAGUCAGAACAGCAUCUUAACUACCAACAGAGGAGGUUAAAUUUACUUUUAACAAAUGCUGGAGUUAGCCUUGGUGUGCACUUAAGUAUCACUCUAUAGUUUUUAUUUGCAAGAGUAUACUAUCAAACUCUUAAUCAAGAAUGCUGAUUCUUCUGGUGCAUUCCAAAUAAAAAUCCUACGGCACAGCCGCCUACUGUACAAUUCCAAGUACCCUGGCGAGCUAUCAAUCUAUGGACCUAGGCUGAAGAUCGGCCAAUGCGGAAAUCCGGGUAGCUUUAGAAGCCAGCAAACAUCAGGCAUGUCGGAAACCUCGAAAAAAGCUCAGAUCAAGUCAAAACAAAUAUACAUCCCUUUAAAGGUAUUAGACGCAUUCCUCUCCAGCAAAGGAAGACUUCAUUAGCGUUCUCACUGGCCCUCCCAUG
rnacentral:lncRNA from 1 species